rnacentral:lncRNA from 1 species
AGUUGUUUGAUUGGUUGCUUUUGGUUGUGAGAUUGCUAUGGUAUGAUUAAUUUUUAUAAGUUGUUAUUUUGAGUUGUAAUAUUUGACAAAGAAUGUUAAUUUCAAGGGUUUACAUGUAUGUUAUGAACUAAGUCAUGUGAUCUUGAAAUUAUGAAUUGUAUUGAGUGUAUCUAUUGGUUUGAUUACGGUUAGUUCCAAUUGGAACAUAUGGUAGGUUGCUUAAAGAUUUGACUUUGGGAUUGGCGUGAAUGGAUUUGCAUAAUUGCAUAAUUAAGUUUUUCGCAAUCAUGCAAGAUUGCUAGGCUAAGAGCUUCGUUGUUGGGUGAGCACAAAGCUAGACGGCCCAUUGACUUGGUGGUCAUUAGGUGAAGACAUUCUUAUUGAGCACUCUAAAGUCAGAGAGUUUACUAGCUUGGUUGCCACUAGACGCAACUAGGCUUCGUAAGGGCAAUUUUGGUCGUUAGAUCCUUGUGAACUCUAGUUAGAGAUGACAAUAGGUCGAGUCGGACACUAAUAAUGCCUACC